rnacentral:rRNA from 1 species
CCUACGGGGGGCUGCAGUGGGGAAUAUUGGACAAUGGGGGGAACCCUGAUCCAGCCAUGCCGCGUGUGUGAAGAAGGCCCUCGGGUUGUAAAGCACUUUCAGUGAGGAAGAACGCCUGGUGGUUAAUACCCAUCAGGAAAGACAUCACUCACAGAAGAAGCACCGGCUAACUCCGUGCCAGCAGCCGCGGUAAUACGGAGGGUGCGAGCGUUAAUCGGAAUUACUGGGCGUAAAGCGCGCGUAGGUGGCUUGAUAAGCCGGUUGUGAAAGCCCCGGGCUCAACCUGGGAACGGCAUCCGGAACUGUCAAGCUAGAGUGCAGGAUAGGAAGGUAGAAUUCCCGGUGUAGCGGUGAAAUGCGUAGAGAUCGGGAGGAAUACCAGUGGCGAAGGCGGCCUUCUGGACUGACACUGACACUGAGGUGCGAAAGCGUGGGUAGCAAACAGGAUUAGAUACCCGUGUAGUC